rnacentral:rRNA from 1 species
CCUUACGACCAGGGCUACACACGUGCUACAAUGGCGCAUACAAAGAGAAGCGACCUCGCGAGAGCAAGCGGACCUCAUAAAGUGCGUCGUAGUCCGGAUUGGAGUCUGCAACUCGACUCCAUGAAGUCGGAAUCGCUAGUAAUCGUGGAUCAGAAUGCCACGGUGAAUACGUUCCCGGGCCUUGUACACACCGCCCGUCACACCAUGGGAGUGGGUUGCAAAAGAAGUAGGUAGCUUAACCUUCGGGAGGGCGCUUACCACUUUGUGAUUCAUGACUGGGGUGAAGUCGUAACAAGGUAACCGUAGGGGAACCUGCGGUUGGAUCACC